rnacentral:rRNA from 1 species
UACGUAGGGGGCAAGCGUUGUCCGGAAUCAUUGGGCGUAAAGAGCGUGUAGGCGGCCCGAUAAGUCCGCUGUGAAAGUCCAGGGCUCAACCCUGGGAUGCCGGUGGAUACUGUCGGGCUCGAGUCCGGAAGAGGAGUGUGGAAGUUCCGUGGUGUAGCGGUGAAAUGCGCAGAUAUCAGGAGGAACACCAAUUGCGAAGGCAGCUCGCUGGGACGUUACUGACGCUGAGACGCGAAAGCGUGGGGAGCAAACAGG